rnacentral:rRNA from 1 species
AUUGAACGCUGGCGGCAUGCUUUACACAUGCAAGUCGAACGGUAACAGGCCGCAAGGUGCUGACGAGUGGCGAACGGGUGAGUAAUGCAUCGGAACGUGCCCAGUCGGGGGGGAUAACUAUCCGAAAGGAUAGCUAAUACCGCAUACGAUCUGCGGAUGAAAGCGGGGGAGAUUCGGGCCUCGCGCGAUUGGAGCGCCCGAUGUCAGAUUAGGUAGUUGGUGGGGUAAAGGCUCACCAAGCCAACGAUCUGUAGCUGGUCUGAGAGGACGACCAGCCACACUGGGACUGAGACACGGCCCAGACUCCUACGGGAGGCAGCAGUGGGGAAUUUUGGACAAUGGGCGCAAGCCUGAUCCAGCAAUGCCGCGUGCAGGAAGAAGGCCUUCGGGUUGUAAACUGCUUUUGUACGGAACGAAACGGCUCUGGUUAAUACCUGGGGCUAAUGACGGUACCGUAAGAAUAAGCACCGGCUAACUACGUGCCAGCCGCCGCGGUAA